rnacentral:tRNA from 1 species
CGAGGCAUGGCUCAGCCAGCAGAGCAUCUCCCUUACACUGAGAAGACACCCGUGCAAAGCAGGUUGCCUCGU